UACGUAGGGUGCGAGCGUUAAUCGGAAUUACUGGGCGUAAAGCGUGCGCAGGCGGUUUUGUAAGCCAGAUGUGAAAGCCCCGGGCUUAACCUGGGAAUGGCAUUUGGGACUGCAAGGCUUGAGUGCGGCAGAGGAGACUGGAAUUCCUGGUGUAGCAGUGAAAUGCGUAGAUAUCAGGAGGAAUACCGAUGGCGAAGGCAGGUCUCUGGGCUGACACUGACGCUCAUGCACGAAAGCGUGGGGAGCAAACAGGAUUAGAUACCCUGGUAGUCCACGCCCUAAACGAUGUCGACUGGUUGUUGGGGGUUUGACACUCUCAGUAACGAAGCUAACGCGUGAAGUCGACCGCCUGGGGAGUACGGCCGCAAGGUUAAA
rnacentral:rRNA from 1 species